GCCUCUGUAUUACCAUAUAUAGAAUAUAUACCGAAAACAGCAGUUUAAGCAUAAAAAACAGCUGAUUUAAUACUUCAUAAGCAAAAUAUAACUACGAAUCACUCAUGUGUGUUUUUAUAAGUUUACAACAAUCAGAAUAUACGAAGAAUUUCCAUAACGCAUCUGUCGUAUGGGUGUGAAUCUGCGUCCCAAAAGCGUUCGUCAGACGAUGUAAACACGUGUAGCUGGUAUUCCCGAUGAUGGCGAUCUUUUGAUGAUUUAUCAGAGUAAUUUGAAAAGUGUCACACUGAUUUGAAAAAAAAAGGCUGGAAGAAAAUCUGGUACCUGCUUUGUCUUGAGAUUUACAUAAAUGAUGUUCUUAUUGGUGAUCAUUUACCCGCACCCUUAUCCUGGUGUCAUAUACAAGAUGAAAUGAUGGAAAGAAAAACCUGAACUUUAGAAACAGGAAGACUGUGUUUUUGAAGAGAGAAGAGGACCAGAACUAAGAAGUCAUACAAUAAACACAUUGACAUCAUAAAAAGAAAUUGCAAUUUUGAGUUUGCAUGCAUAUGUCAGGUUUAAAUGUUGUCACAGAAUUUUUUUCAGAAAGUCCCUUUAUCUUCUUGAAUUACAUGUAAUAAAACAAAUGAACCAAAUAUAAUUGUUUCUAUAUAUAUAAUUUUGUUUGAGAAGUGGAAAGGGGAUGGUAUGUAAAUGGGCAGGAGAGAGAGUCUCUCACAUAGGAGAAUUCAGACUUAUUUAAAUUCAAUAUAUUGAUGUGAACCAAAAAUGGCUUUUGAUCGCCUUGUUGCAGGAUUUACACACUCUCUUUCCUUUCUCGGUAAUGAGAAAUGAGCAUUUAGAAUUUAUUUUGUGAAUGAAUAGAUAUGCUAACCCUCCCCCCUCUCCUUAAUCUUAAUCAUUCUGCAUGUGUUGAAUAAAAAUAAAUGUCAAUUUUAAUGAGUGUUUAAAUUACAAGUGUAACAUGUGUAAUACAAAGGUGAAUACUGUUGAUUGCUUAUGGGGGAUGGGAAAAGGCCUCAUACAUGGGCAGAUCUACAUGUAUAGUCCCCGUGGCAAAUUCUAUUUUAAUUCACAAUUUACAUAGUAAAACACCAUGGUACCUGGCCCCUGGCAAACAGAAUAAAGUUACCCCUUUGAACCCCCUCCCCAGAAUAAUAUUAUCAGACCCAAGCAGUGCUAUAGAAUAUGCAGUCAUUGGGCAAAGGCUGCACAUAAAUAAUGAAAAAAAUACUCCAUAUCUUAUUUUUUAAUAUAUAUUAUGAGAACAAUUUAGUUAGUUUAUUAAUAUCAAUGGCUUCAUUUGUCUCUGUUGACAUCUAAUCCCUCAAAUAAUUGUGUACAGUUAGCUCUUAUAUAUUUUUCUCCCAUUACUAAAAAAAUAUUAAGAAACCAAUAACUCCGCGAAUGCGGUUAAGCAAGAGAACUGAUACACAACGGUUUUUUGUUUACAUCCAUGACACAACAGAGGAAAUGCGGACGAUUCAUCGUAACCAUCUUGUCUCUUGUAAAAUAAAUAAAACAGAAGCACUAUGUUUAAAUAACCAUUUACAUAUCGUACUGUUGAAACAUAUCCUAAAAUUAAUUCGGAUUAUGUGAUAAAAUGACAUCGCGUCUAUAUCAAAAGAGUUAUCGCUCAAAGAGUUACCUCCCCUUUUGAGAUCACUUGUGCAUUUGAAAUGUGUAUUGAUUUGAGAGGACUUCUAGAUUGAGAAAUUAAAUGCAAAAGUUCAAGUGCAAGACGGCUAUAGAUAUUAUUAAACUUGGUAUGAUUUUCUUCCCUUUUACAAGUUCUUUAUAAAAACUGAUGCUCAUUUGUUGAGAGAUGAAGGUUUACUUUGUAAUUGUAAUGAAAAUGUACAAAAAUGCACUAUUUUAGGAACAAGUAGCCAGUUUUUAAAGAAAUUUACAUAACUAAUAAACUUUACAACUGAAUGAGCAUUGAUUUCUAUGAUGUAUGGAUAAUUUUGAAUAUGUUGCCAUAUUACUUACUCUUAAAUUUCUUUGCCUUGCCCUUGAACUUUUUGUCUCAUUUUAGCAUUGACCACUUUUGUCUAAAAGACGCCCACGUGACCCUAAAAAGUCACGUGACCGACAAAUUUAGACAUGGUCAAGUAAAGGAGACCCAUAUCUUUACAAUAACACCCAAAAUAGUUUAGAACUAUUCAUUAUGCAGAAAUGAAUAGACAAAAGCAAAACGACCUCCUUUUACUGCUGUUUAAAAGCAAAAUGUUGCCUUAACUGUCCUGUGAAAAUUGUACUGUCAGACUCUGUAGGGUCUUCAAUUAUUACAUUUAGAUUAUACAUGUACCUGGUACACUGAUUUGCGAUUUACAUCACGUUGAUAAUUUGUUUCAUUGUAAUUCAAUUUGACCAAUUAGUUAGAGAAUCCGAAAUUUUUACUACAUCACCUUGUUUGGUUAGGAUUAAAUUCAAUUACUUGUAUAGUAAAAUAGUACAACACAUAAAAACAUGAAUUCAUUAUUGUAGGGUUAUAUAUAAAAAGUAUGUAAAUAAUAAUUGUUUAUCAAUAAGACCCAUUGAAUUAUUAUACCCCCCGCAAACAAAGUUUGGGGGGGUAUAUAGGAAUUACCUUGUCUGUCCGUCUGUCUGUGCAAUCGUGUCCGGUCCAUAUCUUUCUUAUGGAGAAACAUUGGAAGUUCUUACUUCACACAAAGAUUGCUUAUGACCUCAGGGUGUGUCAUGACCUUGACCCAAAGUCAUUCGGGCAAGGUCAAGGUCACUGGCAGAAAAAAGGCAAAAUUCGUGUCCGGUCCAUAUCUUUCUUAUGGAGAAACAUUGGAGGUUCUUACUUCACACAAAGAUUGCUUAUGACCUAAGGGUGUGUCAUGACCUUGACCUAAGGUCAUUCAGGCAAGGUCAAGGUCACUGGCAGAAAAAAGGCAAAAUUUGUGUCCGGUCCAUAUCUUUCUUAUAGAGAAACAUUGACAUUGGAAGUUUUUUACUUCACACAAAUAUUGCUUAUGACCGUAAGGGUGUGUAAUGACCUUGACCCAAGGUCAUUUGGGCAAGGUCAAGGUCACUGGCAGAAAAAAAUCCAAAAUUCGUGUCCGGUCCAUAUCUUUCUUAUGGAGAAAUAUUGAAUGUUCCUACUUCACACAAAUAUUGCUUAUGACGUAAGGGUGUGUCAUGACCUUGACCCAAGGUCAAUUGAGGAAGUUCAAGGUCAUUGUUUCGAAAAUGCUAAAUUUUGUCUGUGUCAUUUCUUGUAUUAAUGGAAAUAUUAGAAGCUAAAAUUUGACACAAAGCUUGCUCUUCUCGGGCCACAUAUUUUUCAUCCCCGUCUCUCUGAAAUGGCCUGCCCCAAUGAAAUUUUUAUUUGGAAAAAAAAAUGUUUGGAAAAAAAAAUUCGCAAAAAAUCGGGCUCAAUAUACCAAUAAUUCAAAAUGUUUAAAUAUUAAAUGGCUGCUUGACAGGUGGAUUUCAUUUGAUUCGAGUUUGAUUUGAGUCAUGGUUGUUAAAGGAAGGAUGCAAUUGUCCUCAUGCAUUAACAGUUAACUUAAAAUAAAAUGGAAUUAAAGGAUAGAAAUUGGUUUGUUAACUCCUAUUAGCAUAAACAGUUUUAAAAAAUAGAGCAGUUGUUAUUUAUAGAAAAUGGUCAGUGAAAUAGAUUCAUCCAAUAUUUUCUAUAAUAGCAAAAAUACACGCGUUAUGAUUUUUUUCUUAGCGGGGGGUAUCAAUUGUGAGCUUGCUCACAGUACCUCUAGUUGAUUUUACGUCUACAUUAUAAUAAAAUACUAAGUAAAAUUAAGUCCAUACUUUCAUGUUUCAUUUCAUCUUCUAAAUGUGUACUCAGUAUUGCAGAAACAAGUAC